CGGAGCAAACAUCAAUUGUUGGCUGGCCCUCGCUUCAUACUCGUCGCCAAACCCACUGGCUCCAUGUCAUCUACAAGACCCUGCUAGCACCAUGAGCUGUCCAUUUCCGAUUGAUUGUGCCGUGGCUGCUGCUUCAAGUUUCAGCACCACAAUGUAGAUGAACCUCCUUCUUAGCUCUUCCACUCCCAAAGACCCAGCUGAGCCAGCCUCCACUGUUAUUGUGAACAGCAGGGGUCUCGGGCUCAGCCACCGGCCGGGUGCCAGUCUGGAACUGAGGUUUGGCAUCGGAAUGUUCCGGCUUGGUGAUGGACAUCAUAGCAGGAUGCUCAACAUAUCUAAGUCGGACAUCUGUAAUAAGUGGGAGAAGUCAGGCCACUCUGCUCAUGUCACCAUACAGAACAAUUACUGGCUGACAGAUAGGAACGUCUCGCUCUGAUACUCUGUUACAACCCAAUCUUAACCUACACGCAGUCACAGGGAUUACUGGGAGGUUACUCAGGACUCUGCGAUCGCAUUGUUUUGGUUGCAAAAUCAACAAUUCCCUGCAUAUUAUGUGAGGGCUUACAAAUUUGACCAAUCGCCAAACUAUUUCUGCAUAAAAUAGUCACAUCAUCACAAUAUUAUCAUCGCAUAGAACUGACCCAUUACCACAGUAAAAAAAGAGGGCUCGCAAUUUCAACCAAUCACCGCACAUUUACUGCUUAAUAUGGUUUAAUCAAGCCACACCUCAACACAGUUUUUUCCCUUGUCAGCGCAUUUUUGCAACAAAUGGACAAAACAAUUGCAUAUUGCUAUGCAAAAUGUCAUAAUUGUCGCUGCAAAAUCUAGCAUAUUUAUCUGCCAAUAUCAAAAAAUGAAGUAUAAGUAUGAAAAUGUACACUCACUACUGUAAGUCGCUCUGGAUAAGAGCUUCUGCUAAAUGACUAAAAUGUCAAAGUAAAACGUAGCUAAACCUGUUUUAUGUAGAAAAUGCAUGAAAGUAUUACAGAUAUACACUCACAUGAGCCGUACAUUUAACCUAUCACAACUUAUUCUCACGCUAUCACAAUGGUAAUUUCUUUACUAAUUAGGUAAGGUUAAGUGACCUCUUCUCUUGGAAUAGAAAUCCACAGGUGGAGUACACGCUCCACCAUCCCAUUUCCACAGUGGUGCCACCAUGGGGAUGAUGGGAGGUGGUUGUGGAUGAUUGUUUUCAUUCUUCACAGGGACACUGGCUGUGAGGAGGAUCUCCUCCCUCUCUGCAGGGACACCAGCCUUUGGGACGAUCCACUCCCUGUGCGCAGGGACGCUGGCCUUUGGGAAGAUUCCCUUUCUCUGCGCAGUGACACUGGUCAUCAGGAGGAUCAACUUCCUUUGUGCAGGGGUGAGUUGUGAUGCUCUGAGGAUCUUAUUCUUCUGCGCAGUGAUAGAAGCUGCUGGAAGAAUCCCCUCCCUCUUUGAAGGGAUGAGGCCUGAUGCUCGGAGGAUCCCCUCUCUAUGUGCAGGGAUGAGGCCUGAUGCUCUGAGGAUCUCCUCCCUCUGCGCAGUGAUGCUAGCUGCUCGGAGAAUUCCCUCCCCUCGGUGCAGGGACACUGGCUGUUUGGAGGAUCCCCUUCCUCUGUGCAGGGAUGAGGCCUGAUGCUCGGAGGAUCUCCUCCCUCUCAGCAGGGACACUAGCCCUUGGGACAAUCCCCUCCCUGUGCACAGGGACGCUGGCCAUUGGGACGAUUUCCUCCCUCUGCGCAGUGACACUGGCUGUUUGGAGGAUCCCCUCCCCUCCGUGCAGGGAUGAGGCCUGAUGAUCGUAGGAUCUCCUCCCUCUGUGCAUUGAUGCUGGCGGCUGAGAGAAUCCCCUCCCUCUGUGAAGGGACACUGGCUGUUUGUAGGAUACCCUUCCUCUGUGACGGGAUGAGGCCUGAUGCUCGGACGAUCUCCUCCCUCUGCACAGCAACUUCGGCUGGUGUGAUGAUCUGAAGCACCAUGAGCUGUCCAUUUCCGAUUGAUUGUGCCGUGGCUGCUGUUUCAAGUUUCAGCACCACAAUGUA